rnacentral:rRNA from 1 species
GUGUCAGCCGCCGCGGUAAAACGUAGGAGGCAAGCGUUAUCCGGAUUCACUGGGCGUAAAGCGCGUGCAGGCGGUGCGGUAAGUUGGGUGUGAAAUCUCCCGGCUCAACUGGGAGAGGUCAUUCAAUACUACCGUACUCGAGAGCAGAAGAGGAAGAUGGAAUUCCCGGUGUAGUGGUGAAAUGCGUAGAUAUCGGGAGGAACACCAGUGGCGAAGGCGAUCUUCUGGUCUGUUUCUGACGCUCAGACGCGACAGCUAGGGUAGUAAACGGGAUUAGAGACCCCGGUAAUCCUAGCCGUAAACGAUGUGAACUUGGCGUUGGUGGGUUAAACUCCAUCAGUGCCGUAGCAAACGCGAUAAGUUCACCGCCUGGGGACUACGGCCGCAAGGUUAAA